AGCAGCCGCGGUAAUUCCAGCUCCAAUAGCGUAUAUUAAAGUUGUUGCAGUUAAAAAGCUCGUAGUUGAAUUUCGGGGUUAGUAGGUUGGUCAUGCCUCUGGUAUGUACUGGUCUCACUGAUUCCUCCUUCCUGAUGAACCUUAAUGCCAUUAAUUUGGUGUUUUGGGGAAUUUGGACUGUUACUUUGAAAAAAUUUAGAGUGUUUAAAGCAAGCUAACGCUUGAAUACAUUAGCAUGGAAUAAUGAAAUAGGACGUUCGAUCCUAUUUUGUUGGUUUCUAGGAUUGACGUAAUGAUUAAUAGGGAUAGUUGGGGGCGAUUAGUAUUCAAUUGUCAGAGGUGAAAUUCUUGGAUUUAUUGAAGACUAACUACUGCGAAAGCAUUUGCCAAGGAUGUUUUCAUUAAUCAAGAACGAAAGUUAGGGGAUCGAAGACGAUCAGAUACCGUCGUAGUCUUAACCAUAAACUAUGCCGACUAGGGAUCGGAUGAUGUUAAUUUUUUAAUGACUCAUUCGGCGCCU
rnacentral:misc_RNA from 1 species